AAAACAUAGUAUAAUGUAAUACAUUUCACUUACACUGAAAAUAUACUUGGAUAUCAAGUUGUUUU
rnacentral:tRNA from 1 species